GUGAAUCAUCAAAUCUUUGAACGCAAAUUGCACUCUCUGGUAUUCCGGAGAGUAUGCCAGUUUGAGGGUCAGUUUACUUAAAAACCGUUGUGGUUGCUGCCUUUCGUGGUGGAGCACCGGAUGUGGGUCGUCUUGCCUUCGGUUAAGUGAUCUAAAAUUUUGCAUUAUUUUUUAGAACGUAUCUAAAUGAUUUUACGUACGUCUGUGAUAGCGAAUACUAUGUUCGGUCAUCAUCAUGAUACGA
rnacentral:misc_RNA from 1 species